rnacentral:miRNA from 14 species
UGUGCGUGCGUGUGUGUGUACGUGUGUGCGCGUGUGCAUGUGUGUGUGCGUACGUGCGUGUGUGCAUGCGUGUGUGUGCGUGCAUGCGUGUGUACACGUGUGUGCGUGUGUGCGUA